UUAACGGACCACCAAGCGAUGAUCAGUAGCCGGCUGAGAGGCUGUCCGGCCACACGGGCACUGAGACACUGGCCCGACUCCUACGGGAGGCUGCAGUCGCGAAUUUUUCACAAUGGACGCAAGUCUGAUGAAGCCACGCCGCGUGCGGGAUGAAGGCCCUCUGGGUUGUAAACCGCUGUCAGGGGAGGGGAAACGUACGGUAUAAAUAGUGCCGUGCUUGACUGCUCUCCAAAGGAAGCCCCGGCAAAACAUGUGCCAGCAGCCGCGGUAAUACAUGUGGGGCAAGCGUUGUUCGGAAUCACUGGGCAUAAAGGGUGCGUAGGUGGUCUGUUAAGUCAGGGGUGAAAGUCUGUGGCCCAACCAUAGAAUUGCCUGUGAUACUGGCGGACUUGAGUGCGUAAGGGGUAACCGGAACGAGCAGUGUAGCGGUGAAAUGCGUAGAUAUUGCUCGGAAGGCCAGAGGCGAAGGCGGGUUACUGGUGCGCAACUGACACUGAGGCACGAAAGCGUGGGGAGCAAACAGGAUUAGAUACCCUGGUAGUCCACGCCGUAAACUAUGGACACUAGAUGGGUGGUGAGCUAUCGCUGCCUGUCGGAGGAAAUUUGGUAAGUGUCCCGC
rnacentral:rRNA from 1 species